AUUGAACGCUGGCGACAGGCCUAACACAUGCAAGUCGAACGAGUGGCGGACGGGUGAGUAAUGUCUGGGAAACUGCCCGAUGGAGGGGGAUAACUACUGGAAACGGUAGAUAAUACCGCAUACUAUCGGAUGUGCCCCGAUGGGCUUAGCGUGUAGGUGAGGUAACGGCUCACCUAGGCGACGAUCACUAGCUGGUCUGAGAGGAUGACCAGCCCCAAUGGAACUGAGACACGGUCCAGACUCCGACGGGAGGCAGCAGGGGGGAAUAUUGCACAAUGGGCGCAAGCCUGAUGCAGCCAUGCCGCGUGUAUGAAGAAGGCCUUCGGGUUGUAAAGCCCUUUUGUUGGGAAAGCGGUACCCAAAGAAUAAGCACCGGCUAACUUCGUGCCAGCAGCCGCGGUAAUUC
rnacentral:rRNA from 1 species